CCUUAUAUAGACCACAGACAGAAGCCAGGUUUUGUGCAAACUUUUCCAUGCAGGAUUUAGCUUUAGCAGAGCCUUUGAAAUUGUCCAAAUUACCCAUGCUGGUAAAGUCCCACUUGCACCUUUGUUACUUAACAUCUGAACCAAAACUUAUGUUUGUAGGACCCCUCUUUGUGAAUCAUGAUAACAAUUGACCAUGUUUGUGUAGCAUUGUAAAGAAGUGAUAUGAUUAGGUGGACUAAAUGCUGCCUCCAUCCUGAUUCAUGUCUUUUAACCUGCUAAAAGUGCCUUAUUGUUUUCUUUAUCUGCUUAACUAUAAUAAUGGUGAAAGGGCAAUCUAGGAUAUUUGAGAAGUGUGGCCUUUUGAUAUUCUUCCCUUUAUCUUGUUGACUAAGUGGGCCCCUAGAUUUGGUCAUGUUAAUAACUCGAUGCACCUUCUAACAUUUCUAGUGGCCUUGGGUCUUGUUGAGGGACCAUAAAUUUUAUUAAGGGGUCUAAUCGUCUAACCCAGAGAUGUUUUGAUACUUUCCUUCAGCCUUUUUUUGUGGGAAAUCUCGUUAAGGUUUUUACAGCAAAGAAACUAACUUUUCUGUAAGUUAGCUGCCUUUUUUUCAGUCUAAACUUAGGUACCACUCUUAAAUAUGUCAUAGAUGAAGUACGGAAUCAAGGCGUGUUUUAUGGGUUGUGUUCCUCUUCUACAGCCUGUUAACUGUGGCUCGUUAGCAUGAGACACAUUACACGAACAUGGUAAGCAGUAAAAUGACCAAGGCAUGUGCCCCAACAGUUUAAAGGCAGAAUAGCAUUUUUUUUUCCUUGUCCUUUUGUUUUCUGGUCAGCAGAACAAGACUUUGGAAAAAGAAAUGGUGUGACAACUCCAGCAAAUGAUACAGAAGCUUUGGCAUAGCUUGUCGGUCUGGUGUUUAAUUGAUCAUCACUUCAUCAGUGUUCAGUUCGUCCAGCAGCAUGGUGGUCCACACUUUGCUACGAAAAGAACUAUUGAACUAAAAUGAAUUUUUGUUUAGUUAUAUGCUCAUUUCUUUUGGGGCUGUAUGGUUCGGCUAAAAAAAUGGUGACAAUCCUGUUACUUGUACCUACGUUCUAAUCGCACCGAUACUACACCGGCAUCCUACUGUUCAAAAUACUAUGCCGGUCGCAACAAUGCUUACUUACUGAAAGCAUGUUGCUUAAAAGAUGAACAUGUUUUCUUUUUGUCCUUCCAGGUUUUGCGGUGUCAUUUCCGCAGGAUUUCUUUUGCUCCAGCUUGGCGCGACGUAUUAUUCUCAGAAAGCUGAUAGGUAGAAGGCAAGAAUAAAGAAGUUAAUUGAGGGAGAAGCAACGAAGGGAAGAAGUACAUGUCCAGUUCACAAGAUUUGCCAUGCUUGUCCAAUUGUAGCAAAAGGCCGGAAUGAGUGCUCGGGUGAAACUUGCUUUGAGACCAUGGCAUUUCUCCCAUAAGCAGCAGCAGUGCAUCUUCUUUUGCUCAAGUAAGGGCUUCUCUCAUUUACCGCCUUCUCUUUAUGCUCUUUCAUCAGCUGUACUCUGUUGCGGUUGGCAACCCUCGCAAGCUAGCAGCCUAGCAGGUGGGCGAUCUGAUGUUGAUCUUGCAGGACUCAGGCUAGUUUCCUGUUCCCCCUUUUUAUCUUUACCACCGAUCGAUCGUUUUCUCUCUUUGCAUCGAUCACACUCUACUCUUCAGCCAAGAUGCUUUCUCUCUCUGUCUAAAGGAAAAAUGAUUCUUGUAGUAGGAGUUCUCUCUGAACAAGAAAAGAAGAGAAGAUCCUUGAGAAAAGAUUAACCCAGGGAGGACGAAAACAUCUUUGCAGGACAGUGUAGCGCUGGCAGUGGCAGUGCUCGACGGCCGUUGCAAGCCUGCAGUCGGUCUCUUCCAGGGCGUACAGUCUAAAGCAGAGGCAGGCGCAUGCAGCCGGACGCUGUUUGUAACGUGAGGCGCACAGGCUCCCCGGAGUCUUGUCUGAUAAUGCAUCGGAUUCCGCUGUUCUCCCGCCAAGAGAACAAACAGUGAUGGACUGAUGAUCGUAGACCGACCAAGUGCGUCGUGAAGACACAUGCGUUGCUCCGAGGUUGUCUGAAAUCACACGUUACAUCUGAAGGCGCUCGAUGGCAUCUGCAGCUGCAGCUGUUGACAUGGCUGGAUCGUCUGGCUGGGAGCUUGCGUUGAUCGCAGCAUGGAGUAGCAGCUGGCAGCUGCAUCAUCCAACCGACACAGACGCAUCGAGGAGCUCUAAGAGCAUCUCUGGAUCCCGCAAAUCGGUGUCCGGCAAAACCGUUUUAAGGUCUCCCUGAAAACGGUUUACCGGUAUGGCGACCAGUUUACGGGAUCUGUUCCGCUGGAAUCCUCACGGUACCGCAAAACCGUUUUUGGGAUUUUAGGCAAAUUCAUAAUUUUGAACAAUAUAUUCUUAA